GCUGAGAUGGCCGAGUGGUCUAAGGCGCUGGAUUUAAGUCCCAGUGACGGUAUCGUCGCGUGGGUUCGAACCCCACUCUCAGCA